rnacentral:rRNA from 1 species
AGAACGAACGCUGGCGGCAUGCCUAAUACAUGCAAGUCGAACGAACUCUUCGGAGUUAGUGGCGCACGGGUGCGUAACGCGUGGGAAUCUGCCCCUUGGUUCGGAAUAACAGUUGGAAACGACUGCUAAUACCGGAUGAUGACGAAAGUCCAAAGAUUUAUCGCCAAGGGAUGAGCCCGCGUAGGAUUAGCUAGUUGGUGAGGUAAAGGUUCACCAAGGCAACGAUCCUUAGCUGGUCUGAGAGGAUGAUCAGCCACACUGGGACUGAGACACGGCCCAGACUCCUACGGGAGGCAGCAGUAGGGAAUAUUGGACAAUGGG